AUUGAACGCUGGCGGCAGGCUUAACACAUGCAAGUCGAGCGGGGGAGGUUGCUUCGGUAACUGACCUAGCGGCGGACGGGUGAGUAAUGCUUAGGAAUCUGCCUAUUAGUGGGGGACAACAUUCCGAAAGGAAUGCUAAUACCGCAUACGCCCUACGGGGGAAAGCAGGGGAUCUUCGGACCUUGCGCUAAUAGAUGAGCCUAAGUCGGAUUAGCUAGUUGGUGGGGUAAAGGCCUACCAAGGCGACGAUCUGUAGCGGGUCUGAGAGGAUGAUCCGCCACACUGGGACUGAGACACGGCCCAGACUCCUACGGGAGGCAGCAGUGGGGAAUAUUGGACAAUGGGCGGAAGCCUGAUCCAGCCAUGCCGCGUGUGUGAAGAAGGCCUUUUGGUUGUAAAGCACUUUAAGCGGGGAGGAGGCUCUUAAGGUUAAUACCCUUGAUGAGUGGACGUUACUCGCAGAAUAAGCACCGGCUAACUCUGUGCCAGCCGCCGCCGUAAGAC
rnacentral:rRNA from 1 species